GCGAAGAGGCUAUUAGCUUAGACAGCAGAUGCAUAUUUUAUGAUUGACCGGCCUUACAAAGCAAAAUAGCGUGGCACGAUCGUUUGCUUCUGGCGCAAAGUAAAUGAUAAAAAAAAUCGCUUCGCCAUCGAGAUUUACGUGCGACCGCCACCGUGCUUAUAAAAAGCACUUGAAAGCUCGUCACUCAAACAGGCUUUGCCUUUGCUUUUGAAGCCGAAUGUAUAUUUAGUCCUUUAGGGUUAGGAGCCAUUUAACUAUGAAGUUUAUACUAUUUUUAAAUGGAAAUUAAUGUUGAAAUAUAUUUAUGGAGUUUUAUCUAAAGUCUGUCUACAAGGUUUUUCCUUAAACCAAACCUAUGCGAUUCUUCUUUGAGUUACCAGGUCGUCAAUAAUAAACAAGCAAGGCAAAAUACCCCGCGGGCAACUACAGGCAAAAAAGAGGUCUAAAAGAGAAAAUCCCUCUGCUUUACUAAUCGGUAAACGGGUGUCACAAAAAUGUAUCUACAGCUUCUAAAAUCUAAUAUCUACUAAACCUUUCCUUUUAAAAGAAAUCCUGAGAAAAUUAUUUAUGUCUGCUGUUCAAUCUGCUACCUCAUUAGAGUGGAAUGUUCUGCGCGUCGUUUUGAGCUUGGAUUCAAUAACCACCAUGAUCAGAUGUGUUCGAAAAUAACAUGCCUUCAGUAGCGAAGACGAGAAUAAGAAUGAAAAUCAGAGUGAAUAAGAGACACCACUCUGCGCGUCUUUUGCCGUCUUGGAGGUAAUUUUUGUCUCCACAGUGCAAAUUCGGUAUUAGCACCAAGUUACUCUUUUUUCAAUAGCCUGCGCUUAACUUACAGGCCACCCGCCAAAGUCUUUAAAAAAAAAUAGAAGGUAAUGACUACCUCUUCAUUACGGGACAAUAAAAUGGUCACUCUUUCUUACCAUUUCAUUCCGAAGGUCUUCGUCAUC